UCCCCAGUCCCAGUCUCAGAUCUAUGCAUCAGCAAAGGUCUCAGCUCAGCUCCCAUAAGGCCUUAGGACAGGAGAAAGGGGAUUGCCCGGUGGAACAGGGCCCCUUGCCAGCAACUAUAAUCUUUAAGCUGAAAGCAAGAAGGUGGAUCCUGAUAGAAACCUGCACACUUGGACCAGAACUGUCUUUGAAGAAAGUACUGCAUAAGAGCCUGGAGACAAGGAAAAGAGAGGACCCAGAGCACACUAGGUUCCCGGUAGGGACCCAGCAGGUGUAAAGUGCCUUGGACCUUGGACAACUGAAUAAGGGAAGACUAAAGGCCUGCAUGCUUCUACCGCCAGGGUUGCCUGAGUAUAGUGAACAAGCACUUAGGCCCUCGCACAGACUUCUGGCCGCCUAGGCGGAGAGCACAGGACGGGACAGAUGCGGAAGGACUGGGCCACCGAGCUGUCUGCCCCACCCUGCCCUCUGUGGGCCUCCUAGAACAGCCUGUCCCUGGCGCCCGCGGUUCCGUCGUAACCCGGGGCUUCCUGGAGACUGAGAAUCCAGUCUCAGAGCCCACUGACCGCACGGUUUCCGAGAGCCCCGCCCCACCGCAGGGCUGGUCUGCGACCGGAGGACACGCCCAUGGAUGGGGGACACGCCUCCACAAGGACCCGCCCAUUUUCCUAGAUUUGCCUCAUUGAACACAAGCACCUGGUCACAACAGGCCAGUCAUGCUCCUGCCCUACCCCGAAGGCCCGCCCAGACUAGCGGGGUGGGCUACGGAGUGCGCGGCCCCUACGCUUUAGACCCUAACGGGAUCCUUGAGACCUCUGGUGCUCAGGGAUGAGGAUUGCUCACCUGUAAGCGAAAGCGGGUUCCCGGGCACCCAUGUUCAACGCUAGGUGGCUACGAGAGGUGCUCGGCCCUCAGGCGGUGUGGGUCCCCAGUUAUGCCCCGCGGCCAUCGUGCUUUGUGUACCGCGACCUUCAUCAGGCUUCCCGAGGAGUAGUGGGCAAUCGCGGCCCAGAACACCGGCGCUGAGCUGGGAGAGCGCAGGGCAGAAACACGAGACCCCUGCAAAACUUGGGACAUGGAGCGAGAAGGCACGAACAGAGAAGGGACAGAUUCUGAAUCACAUUUUUCCCUAAGACAGGGUGUAUCCCUGGAACGCGCUCUGUUGACCAAACUGGCUUCGAACUUAGAGAGCUCUGCCCUGCCCUGCGGUCCGAAUGCUGGCAUAAUUGCUUGUGCCACCACCACCGGCCUGAAUCACAUUUUUAAAAAAGGUCUUGGUGUUGGUUGUGAACUGGAAGGAAGGUCUUAAAUUCAUAUGUUCACAAUUUAUUGUUCUAUCUUACUAUAGUGUGAAAGUCGAUUUAAGCAAUCCUGGUGUUCUCCUUUUGGUAUUGUAUUAAAUUAUAUGAGAUAGUCAGCACUGCCUUACAAGAUGGUCAUUGUGGAGGGGUGUGGCUCAGUGACACAGCACUUGUUUAGCUCAAUCAAGGCCUGUUCCCCUAAACUACAAGCAUACAUAUAUAAUGUAUUAGAUUUGUAUUAGAUAAUGUCACCCAUUGUAAGUUGACAUGACUGUCCUGAGGCCAUUUUUUAACAUGGGGUCUCAACUUACCAGUAUUUUCUAUUUUUCACUUUGACUUCAGAAAUCGAUGGGAAUAUAUACCCAUGAGAGUGGAGCAACAAUGGCAGGGUCAGUUUGUACUAGUCUAGGACAGAGAUGCCUCAGGGGCCCUGCUUCCUGGUUAAACAUGAAGGAAACAAAGUGGAGUGGCAGUUACUAGAACAGUUAGCAAAAUGUUCCUCAAUGGAAGAUCAAAUCACUUUGUGGUAGAAGCCAUGAUAUGCAAAACCUGGGUGCCUCCGAUACCCCAUGCAUUUAGGGGAGUCAAAGGGCUAAAACAUAAAAUAAUCUGUGUUCAAAUAACUGACGUCUUGGCUAGGUGGUGGGGCAUGAUCCAGAACUUAAUCUGAUUCUUGUCAACAAAAGGGGAAGAGGGCUGGGUAUGGUGGUACACAUUAGGUUUCAAACUCAAAUGCAAGGCUGCAGUGCCUACUUAACAUUUUUUUUUAAGAUUUAUUCAUUUAUUAUAUAUAAGUACGCUGUAGCUGUCUUCAGAUACACCAGAAGAGGGCAUCGGAUCUCUUUACAGAUGGUUGUGAGCCACCAUGUGGUUGCUGGGAAUUGAAUUCAGGACCUCUGGAAGAGCGGUCGGUGCUCUUAACUGAUGAGCCAUCUCUCCAGCCUCCCAUACUUAACAUAUUAAGAUGGACCUUGUCACCAGGUUCUCCCAGCAUCCCUCAGUCCCUACCUUUUACAGGGUCCUACUGGCUGGUGUUCCUACUGGCAGGCCCCCUACCCUGAACUCAGCUCAGGGCCUGGGCUGCCCUUCCCCCAAGUAGCCAUCUUGGUUACCCCACUCUCUUUUGGGCUUCCUGGCUGCUGUACCUGGUUCCCCUCUCUUCACAUGGCUCAGGGUCAUGUUCACUCUGGAUUCUCUUGGAUGUCUCCGGCUCCCUUUUAUCUAAAGUAAGCUUCCUCCACCAAACCUAGGCACAGUCACAUUUGUUCCUUUCAUUUUUUCAUUUAUCUGGUGCCAAAACUUGGGACCAGUCACUUUCCUUUUCUUUCCUUUUCUUUUCUUUUUUUUUUUUUUUUUUCUUUUUUUCGGAGCUGGGGACCGAACCCAGGGCCUUGCGCUUGCUAGGCAAGCGCUCUACCACUGAGCUAAAUCCCCAACCCCUUUUCUUUUCUCUUUUCUUUUCUUUUUUUUUUUUUUUCUUUUUUUUUUUUCCGGAGCUGGGGACCAAACCCAGACUUUCCUUCUCUUUUCAUUUCUGUUUUUCAUUCAUCUGGUGUCAAAGCCAGGAAGCGGCAUGAUAUCCUUCCCCCAACAAAUCGGCUGCUCCAGACCAAGCUGCUGCUCUGAAUCUCCAAAGGUGUACACGAAUCCUACCUUGUCUACAGUGAGUUCCAGGCCUGGCUGCUAGUGAGACCCCAUCUCAAAGAAAGAGUGAAGGAAAGAGGGAAGAAGAGGGCAUCCUGAGCUCCAACAUUGGCCUCCUCAGAAUUCUUGUAUUUCCAGAGGAGCCUCUAUCAGCCAUACUACUGCAGUGUCUGCACAACUGGGCAAACUGGGAGCCUUCUAAAUAAGGAUUUCGGAAUAUUAGUUGGAAAGAGAAGGACAAUGAGCAGCCCCAGAGUGACCAAUUGACAAAACAGGAAAGUGUUUCAGUAAAGAGGAGAUGGUUUGGAAGCUGCUGUUAGACAGGACAGACCUGAGUGGACUUUAUUCUAAGCCUCCUCACUUAUAAUCAUUAUUCUGAUCCUAGUCAACCCAUUUCCAUCUGGGAUCCAUUUCAGCACAAUUGUCUGGGUCAAGUCUCUUCUCUGUGUCUCUGGGUUCGGUUCUCAGCUCCGGAAAAAAAAAAAAAAGAAAAAAAAAAAAAAAAGAAAAUGAGGAAAAUGGUAAGCAGGACCCGUCCUGAGCAGAACCUGAGCGGAAGUCCAGUGUUUUUUUUUUUUUUUUUUUUUUUUUUUUUUAUUUAUUUUUUUGGUUCUUUUUUUCGGAGCUGGGGACCGAACCCAGGGCCUUGCGCUUCCUAGGCAAGCACUCUACCACUGAGCUAAAUCCCCAACCCCAUUGUUUUUUUUUAAAGAUUUAUUUAUUUAUUAUAUAUAAGUACACUGUAGCUGUCUUCAGACACACCAGAAGAGGGCAUCGGAUCCCAUUACAGAUGAUUGUGAGCCACCAUGUGGUUGCUGGAAUUUGAACUCAGGACUUCUGGAAGAGCAGUCAGUGCUCUUAACCUCUGAGCCAUCUCUCCAGCCCGGAAGUCCAGUGUUACAGCUGUUACAGUGACUGAAUAGGGAAACAUCUACCACUGAGCUAAACCCCCAACCCCUCUGCUUACCAUUUUCAAUUCCCAGC